ensembl:snoRNA Gm24648 predicted gene, 24648
AGCAAUUGUGUGGCUUUUCUUUUUGUCCAGCUAGUGGACAAAGACUUUAAAAGACAGUGCUAAACAAACACUCUUUUGUAACCCAGGAUUUAUUGUUCUGUGUGCGUUUGGGUACAUACAAGAAGGAAUAUG